CUAUGUUACAUCCAUGGUCUUCUCCGAGAGUCUCCACUGAGAAUCCUUCCCCAAGAGUCCUGGCAACAGCACUCUUCCAAAGAAUUUGGAAUCUCUUUUACCUUCCUAGCCUUGUGCUCAUGUCUUGCUAGAAGGUUCUCUAGAAGAAGCAUUUUGCAACCACACUCACAGAAAUUCCAUUUGGUUGCAAGACCUUUGCCCACAAUAGAGAAAGCUAUGCCAGCAUUGGAGUAAAAUUACAUCCAGAAUUGUAAGGGAAGUAAAACAUCCAGGAAUAUUCCUCUUUCAAAAGCUGCUGGACAAGAAGCAAGGGAACAACACCAUGCCCAAAUCAAAGCAGACAUGUAAGAAGCCUUCUGGGAUAAGAGCCAUAUCCCCAGCCAGCCAGAUCAGCUGAUAUAUGCUUCAUGUGUUUCUUGGCGACUUCAUUUGGAAAAGACACAGGAACCUCAAAAAGUGUAGGAUUUCAUUAGGGAAAAAAAAGCAGCACAGGCUGCUGUAUAUAUUGAGGAGCUUGCCAAGCCUAUGGGAAAUCAGAGGAACAGA